rnacentral:rRNA from 1 species
GCACUAACAAAUAGUUGAUGCAGUAUCGACUCAGUCGAAUAAAAUUCUAGGUAGAAUUAUGAUAAUGACAUUAUCUGCCUAUGUGUCUUGACCAAAUUACGUGCCAGCAGUCGCGGUAAUACGUAGAAGACUAGUGUUAUUCAUCUUUAAUAGGUUUAAAGGGUACCUAGACGGUAAAUCAAGCCUUCAAGGGGACUAAUUUACUAGAGUUACUUGUGAGGGGGUAUUAAAGUACUGCUGGUGUAGAGAUGAAAUUCUGUGAUACCUCUUUUCGGAAGAAAAAUAAUGGCACAGGUAUAGGCGAAAGCAUCCCCUUAUGUGAUAACUGACGUUGAAGGACGAAGGCUUUGUGUAGCGAACAGGAUUAGAUACCCCAGUAGUCAAAGCAGAAAAUGAUGAAUGUCAUAGAUUAGACAUAUAAUAGUUUAUUCUAUAAAUGAAAGUGUAAGCAUUCCACCUCAAGAGUAAUUUGGCAACAUUGGAACUGAAAUCAUUAGACCGUUUCUGAAACCAGUAGUGAAGUAUGUUGUUUAAUUUGAUAGUCCGCAAAAAACCUUACCACAAUUUGAAUAUUUAUAUAUAUUUUCUGAUCUUAUGUGAAAAGAGAAAAAUAUAUUUACAAGCGUUGCACGGCUGUCUUCAGUUAAUGUCGUGAGAC